rnacentral:rRNA from 1 species
UACGUAGGGACCAAGCGUUGUUCGGAUUUACUGGGCGUAAAGGGCGCGUAGGCGGCCAACUAAGUCAGACGUGAAAUCCCUCGGCUUAACCGGGGAACUGCAUCUGAUACUGGAUGGCUUGAGUUCGGGAGAGGGAUGCGGAAUUCCAGGUGUAGCGGUGAAAUGCGUAGAUAUCAGGAGGAAUACCCAUAGCGAAGGCAGCUCGCUGGGACGGUACUGACGCUGAGGCGCGAAAGCGUGGGGAGCGAACAGG